UUUGCCAGUUUGACUGUACUUCUUUGGUGUGAGAGGGGUUGUAGACAAGUGAUUGUACUGAGCACGUUCAGGCGCAGGACUCCCUUUUGUAUCAGACCUGAGGCUGUUAGGAAUGGUGGGAGUUGGAGUUGGUUUGCCAGUUUGACUGUAUUUCUUUGGUGUGAGAGGGGUUGUAGACAUGUGAUUGUACUGAGCAUGUUCAGACGCAGGACUCCCUUUUGUAUUCACUUUUGCAUCAGACCUGAGUUGGAGUUGGUUUGCCAGUUUGACUGUAUUUCUUUGGUGUGAGAGGGGUUGUA
rnacentral:lncRNA from 1 species